rnacentral:piRNA from 1 species
UUUAAUGAUGGUGUUCUGCCUUGUGAUAG